AUGGCAUGGGUUCCCAAGAGGAUCAAUCAUAACAAAAAUGAUGUGCAUACUUCUAUUGCAAUAAGUACAAUAAAAGUGAAGAAAGAGAAGAAUGGAAGCAACAAACAAUUAAGCCGAGGGUGUGCAUCACAACAUCAAAAUCUUCAGUUAGCACAUCAUCCAUUUUCUUCAACAAUGCCAUUGAUGUCUUUGUCGUUGAAUUCAUCCAUAAGUAUGAUCAAUUACCGUCCAUGGAUUUAUUUUGAUCCGUGGAUGCAACAUAAUUUUCUAUAUCAUGAGAGGGUAUUGCCAAGUCACUAUACAUUUGAUUAG
rnacentral:rRNA from 1 species